GGAACAGCUAUUUUAAUACUGGCCACAGCAAGCUGACUGAGCGAAACUGUCUCAAAACUUAAGGCAGACAAACAUGUGAUGGAAAGACUGACCUAGAGCUCCAUAAGCAAUGAUGUCAUCUGUUGUGUUUGUAGUUUUCUCAUCUGCCGCUCCAAUGUACCACUUCAGGACAUUGUGAGGGUUUGUAUGAUCUGUCUUUGUUUCACAGCAGAUUUUCCCCUCCUCCAUUACGCUGCGUCUCCUGUCUUCAAGGGAAGCUGAAAGUCAAAAAGAAAACAACUUCCAGACCAAGUGCUGGGAAGCUUCAAGCUGAGAAAGCUGGAGUUCAGGCAGAGGUCCGCUCGUGCUGCUCAGCUUUACUGCACCCUGCAAGGAACACUGAGCUGACACUCCUUUCCAGCCCUGGAUCCCUGCAGCAGCAGAAGCCACAAAGUCCUGUUGCAGAAGAGGAUAAAUUCCCCCCAACUCUCCUGGCCAGGAGGCUCCAGGUCCAUGCACAUCACCCAGCAAUACACGCAACAAACCACGUCUUGUGACCUGCUGUCACUUCCAAAAACACACACCCAGACAGGUAGGAAAGAUGCUCUGUUCUGAGUGACCGCUUUGCCUGACCCGACUUGAAAUAUUUACUGUUACAUUGCUUUUACUUCUAAUUUGAACAUAUAUUCCCCAUCGGGUUUUCUAAAUUAAAAUUCAAGCAAAUAAAACCCAUAGUAUUUCUUAAUAAAGAGUGAGAAAAGCAUCCUGGGUCAUUCCAAUGACACUGAAAGGGGAUUUACAUAAAACACAACUUUUACUUUCCAAAGGAGAAAAAAGCAGUAAUUCCCCUGGAAGUCUCACUUAGGUUUUCUUACUAGUGGGACAGUGGCAAACAUUAAAUGUUCUGCCCUUCGGGGCUUUUAAUUAAAAGCUUUAUUAAGAUAAUUUUCUUAAUUAUCCCAGCCCUAUGAGAGCCCUUGCAGCUGCCAGCAGACAAUGCAGCCCCACCUGACCACUCAGUCCUGCUCGGCACAAUAAGCAGAAAUAUGACAAUAUCCUCCACAUUAACAACCUUUCAGAAUCUCAAGGGAGAGAGACAGACUCUUUAGCGGGGUCUGUGUGACAGGACAAGGGGAAGUGGUUUUAAACUAUGAGAGGGCAGAUUUAUAUGGGAUAUAAGGAAGAAGUUUUUUAAGGAAGAAAAGUAGGAAGAGCAUAAUGUAUUUGUGCUGGACGAGUGUCCAUACAGCAUCUUUACAUCAUGCAAGGGGACCAAUUCCUCCAUGCAAUGCAGCACUGCUCCAUCCAUGCACCAUCUGCAGGGAUUGCUCCUGGCCCCACAGAUACCAGCAACAUCCAGAGCACCAAACGAGCACAGAAACCAAAUCAUUCAGUGCCAUUUCACACCGCUCUCACUAAAUCCUUUCUGCAAAGCGUGAGCUGCCUGUAGCUGUCUCCUCCUGCUCUUCAGGCACCAAGGGCUGUCACCAACUUUGUCCUUGGAACAUUUGCUCAGCUCACAGGCUGGCAGUUGUUUGCCUACAGAUCUGAUAGCAAACAACAUUUUUUUCCCCCGAAGUUUUCAGUCCCAGGUUUGUGCAUUCUGUUCCCCUUCAUUCUGUUUUCUCUCCCUCUUUGUAGCCUCCUCCUUCCUCCUUUCCUCCUGUGCUGUUCACAGCACAUCUCCCAUUCUCUUUCCUUCAGCAAGAUUCCUUCCUUCUCCUCCUCCUUGCUUUGUUUCUAAAACACACAGCUCUCUCUGCCUCCUCCCCCUGGUAUCAGUUUUGGCAGAUGUCUGUUUGGAGCUCUCUUGGCCGCCUCCUGCCAUCAAUUCUAAACUUCUGUCAGCAAUAAAACACUCAAAUCUAAAAUUAAACGUUUGCUUUGGACAGAAAACAUUUUUCAUCACGUUUUUUUCUUUUUUCCUGCUCGCCUUCGUUCUCAGGACAGCACGAAUUCUCAUAUUCAGAACUGCUGAAGUUGGCCACAGAGCUGUACCAAAGCAAUGCCACACCCUAAAUGCAGACCAGCCCAAGCAAUACAGUACCAGCUUUAGCCUCAAGAGCUGAGUAUCAGGGGUGAGUAGAGCCCCAGCGAGGCAUUCUGGCUUUGUUUCAGAAAGAGCUAUUGCAAUACAAUGCACUUUUCCUUCCCCCGUGUGUUCACAGGGCUAUGGGUUUUCCCCAUACAGCAGGGCUGCUCCCCUGCUCUUUCCCCUCCAACUGAACGUAACACAUCAUUACACUCUCCUCCAGUAGUAAACACUGUGCUCUUGCCCCUCCUUACUCUCUCACAUGGACGCUCAGCUCAAGGUUUUAUGGCUUAAUGUGCCCUUCAGUGUACAGUCAUGUGGUCAGGUCCAACUGUUCUGGUGAUGUAAUGCAAUAUGGCAAACAUUUAUGUGUUACUGUAAGUUUCAGAAAGAACUUUUGUGUUCUCCUGAGUGUCCCGUGGGAGAGGAUUUAAGUUUCCAACAGUUUGCAGAAAGCAGUAGAGCUGAAAGAGGCAAAGCAACUACAGCACAAGAAGGACUUCCCAAGAUGCUAUAUACUUUUUAUUUUAACUUGAAGCUCUCUCCUGGAAGAGCAGUGGACUUUGCAUGAAAGAACUGCAGUACUGCUGUAAGUACCAGCUUCACUGGUUGAUCUGCUGAAUGCCACUCAACAAACCGUUGCAACACAUUAAAAACAAGAGAAAAAUCAGAGAAAGGGGCAAAACAGCUAUUGCAAGAGCUGGUCUGCAAGCUCAGUGUGUCCCCCCCCAGCUCCAGCAAGCAAUGGGGAUACUCCUACAGAAUCCCUCUUACGAAACUCUUUUGCAAUUAACCACAGGAGAACACAGCUGAGCAUUUCUACUAUUUGUGGCACACUGGGUGGCAAGAGCAGCGUAGUCACUGGAGCCACAUGCACUGACUUAUGCACAGAGAACACACAAACCACGCCGAUCACUUCCCUCCCACCACACAUGCUUUUAGUGCCUGUUCUGAAAUGCCUCCUUAAGAAGAGGAAACCAGCAGUUUGUAAGGGAAAAGAGCAGCUGUAGGACAGGACCUUACAGAAGAGCACCGUGUAAAUACCUGGAAGGAUGUGUGAGUCCCAGGAAGCCCUCCUGUGCCUGAGCAGUGUUCUGUGUGCUCAGGACAUGCAGCUCCACAUCCAGAGCCCUGCAGGAGAGACCGAUCAGUGCAGACAGACGGAGGAGCGCUGCUGGCUUUCCCUGCUUUUAAAAGCAACUCAAUUUCACUUUCAGUCCUGAAGGAAGUGGGACACGGCGCCUGGGAGCGAUGCCAGCCAGGCGAGCUCACGGGAUAGAAAACAUGGGAAAAUCCUCACAGCAGAGCACAUCGCUGCCAGAAGUCUGCCUGCGAGGUGAGCCCCGUGCACAGGUACCUGGGCCCUGACACUGGCUCAGUGCACAGCAGCACUGAUGCAUGGAGCUGGUAUGGGGCAGUGCAUCCCUGCAAGGUUGAGGGCUGAAAGGCACCUGGCAAAGCUCACCUGAUGCAGUGCCAGGCUCUGGCUGUCACACUGUCUGGCACUGCAGCCACACUGCUGGGAGCAGAGGGAGGGCAGUGAGUUUGCACAGCCCUCCGUCCAUUAGAGAUCUUCCUAAUUCCGAGACUCAUUGCAGCUCAGGUGAAACAGGGCUUAUUACUCUUGGCAAAGCAUGACCUGCUUUUAAAUAUCAGGAGAAUUUCUUGCCCUGA
ensembl:lncRNA